GGAGUGAUUCAUGACUGGGGUGAAGUCGUAACAAGGUAGCCCUAGGGGAACCUGGGGCUGGAUCACCUCCUUA
rnacentral:rRNA from 6 species